UACGAAGGGGGGCUAGCGUUGCUCGGAAUUACUGGGCGUAAAGGGCGCGUAGGCGGAUAUUUAAGUUAGAGGUGAAAGCCCAGGGCUCAACCCUGGAAUAGCCUUUAAUACUGGAUAUCUUGAGUUCGGGAGAGGUGAGUGGAACUCCGAGUGUAGAGGUGAAAUUCGUAGAUAUUCGGAAGAACACCAGUGGCGAAGGCGACUCACUGGCCCGAUACUGACGCUGAGGCACGAAAGCGUGGGGAGCAAACAGG
rnacentral:rRNA from 1 species